UAAGACUUGAGUUGAUCUCAAUUGUCUUCUCUGUUGAAAUAGUUGUUAUAUUUCUGAAUAGCAGAGUUCUAUCCAAAUUAUCCACAUAACCAUCCAAUUAUUCAACGUAAUCCAUCAUCAAUAUAAUCCACUGCAUCAUUCAGGUAUAAUCUUAUCUUAAUCUUUCUUAAUUCCGUCAUGUUGUUAAAUUUGAUAUCAGAGCAAUUAAUCCGUCAUCAUGUUAUUUUGAAUUUGGUAUCAGAGCUAAGUAACGUUCUUACUAUUAUUUUGAAUGUUAAAUCUUUCAUUCAUAUGAAUAUUAAUCGUUACAAACAUUCAUCGUUAUAAGUUAUAAACUCAUUAUUAAAAUCAAAUAUUAUUAUCCACCUACAAUUUAAACAUAUGUCGGUAGAAGUUUUUUUACAAUUAUGACUACGUACCAAGAAGUUAGAAAUACAUUUCAUAUGUCAAAAAAGUUUUUAAUUCUCUGACUGCAUCAUAAAUAUAAUAGUAUUAAAAACCCCACCAUCAACAUCUUAUUAGAAUUUAUAAAUCAUAACUUUGAGAAAAAAACUUAUCAUUUUGUUUCUAAAAAUUAUAAUCAUAAGUUUUUCAAAUUUAAAUAUUAACAAAUAAAAAAUCUUGAAAAUAAAAUAACAAGAAUAAUUUAUAAAUAUGUCUCAAGAAAUAGAACAUACACCAAUCAUUAUUAAUAACGAAGAAAAUGAAUCGGGAUACACUUUUGAUGCUCUAAUUAAUAAAAAUAAUAUUAAUAAAGAUGCUAUAAGAAAAUUAAAUUUUACACUAUCUGAAAAACAUAAUUUUAAAUAUAACUCAUUGAGAGAAGAUUAUACAUGAAUGAUGUCGUGGAUUAUAUUGAUGCUGGAUUAUGUUGAAUGAUUGGAUGAUUAUGUGGAUAAUUUGGAUAGGGCUCUGCUAUUUAGAAAUAGAACAACUAUUUCAACAGAGAAGACAAUUGAGAUCAACUCAAGUCUUAAACACUUUCAUAUGGGCAAAGGCCUAUUUAUAGGNAUCAAGAGAGUCGGUUACAAUUAUUGUUGCAAUCGUUUGAUUGCAAUACGACAUACAUAUUUACAUUAUAGCCCCCUAAACUAUUGAGGGUUACACACUUUAUGUUACAUCACAAAUAAUACAACCGACACUUAAUAAUUAUCCUACCGACACUUCUAUUUAAUUACGUAAAAAUAACAAUCCUUAAUUUAAGACACAUGUCCUUUCAACGUGGAAGGGAUUGUUAUUUUUACGUAAUUAAAUAGAAGUCUCGGUAGGAUAAUCAUUAAGUGUCCGUUGUAUUAUUUGUGAUGUAACAUAAUGUGUGUAACCCACAAUAGUUUAGGGGGCUAUAAUGUAAAUAUGUAUGUCGUAUUGCAAUCAAACGAUUGCAACAAUAAUUGUAACCGGCUCUCUUGAGCAUCAAAAGAGUAUUCCAGUUCAUUUUCUUCGUUAUUAAUAAUGAUGGGUGUAUAUUUUAUUUCUUGAGACAUAUUUAAUAAAUUAUUCUUGUUAUUUUGUCUUCAAGAUUUUUUCUUCGUUAAUAUUUAAACUUGAAAAACUCAUGAUUAUAAUUUUUAAAAAUGAUAAUUUAUUUUUUCUUCCAAAGUUACGAUUUAUAAAUUCUAAUAAGAUGUUGAUGGUGGGGUUUUUUAAUACUAUUAUAUUUAUGAUGAAGUUAGAGAACUAAAAACCUCUUUGACAUAUGAAAUGUGUUUCUAACUUCUUGGUACAUAGUCAUAAUUGUAAAAAACCUUCUACCGACAUAUGUUUAAAUUGUAGGUGGAUAGUAGUAUUUGAUUUUAAUAAUGAGUUUAUGAUAAUAACUUAUAACGAUGAAUGUUUGUAACGAUGAAUAUUUAUAAGAAUAUAUAUGAUGAUGCAUGAUGAACAUAUAUUCAUAUGAACGGAAGAUUUAAUAUUCAAAAUAAUAGUAAGAACGUUACUUAGCUCUGAUACCAAAUUUAAAAUAACAUGAUGACAGAUUAAUUGCUUUCAUACCAAAUUUAAAGCGAUGACGGAAUUAAUAAAGAUUAAGAGAAUAUUAUACCUGAAUAAUGCGGUGGAUUAUCUUGAUGAUGGAUUAUGUUGAAUAAUUGGAUGGUUAUGUGGAUAAUUUGGAUAGAACUCUGCUAUUCAGAAAUAGAACAACUAUUUCAACAGAGAAGACAAUUGAGAUCAACUCAAGUCUUAAACACUCAAACUUAAAUUGUUUAUUUCAUAUGGGCAAAGGCCCGAUUCAUAGGCUCAAGAGAGCCGGUUACAAUUAUUGUUGCAAUCGUUUGAUUGCAAUACGACAUACAUAUUUAUAUUAUAGCCCCCUAGACUAUUGAGGGUUACACACUUUAAGUUUGGCAAUUACAAUUACAUCAAUCUCACCCAUACCUCAAGUAUAUCAAAAGUGCCAACAACCAUAUAGCAGACACACUAACAAGAGAAUGGAAGCCAUCAUAAAGCAACCCAGAUAAGAAGCAACACUAUUCAUGGAAGACUAACACAAGAAUUAAAAAAUAUCUGCUUUUUUGGAGGCGGGAGGAAUCACGCAAGCAAUGCCAUAAAAAGCCAUUAUUGAAGAUUAACGGGAGGAAUAACGUAAGCAAUGACGUAAAAAGCCAUUAUUGAAGACACCUAAUGACGUAAUCAAUGACGUAAAAAGCCAUUAUUGAAGACACCUGUCUUUUCAAUGUGGAAGGGAUUAUUAUAUUUUUAAUUAUGUAAAGUGUUGGUAGAAUUAUUUGUAUUGUCGGUAGGANAAUUAUUAAGUGUCGGUUGUAUUAUUUGUGAUGUAACAUAAAGUGUGAAACCCUCAAUAGUCUAGGGGGCUAUAAUGUAAAUAUGUAUGUCGUAUUGCAAUCAAACGAUUGCAACAAUAAUUGUAACCGGCUCUCUUGAGCCUAUAAAUAGGGUUUUCGCAUAUAUGAAAUAAACAAGUUAAGUUUGAGUGUUUGAGACUUGAGUUGAUCUCAAUUGUCUUCUAUGUUGAAAUAGUUGUUCUAUUUCUGAAUAGUAGAGUUCUAUCCAAAUUAUCCACAUAAUCAUCCAAAUAUUCAACAUAAUCCAUCAUCAAUAUAAUCCACCGCAUCAUUUAGGUAUAAUCUUAUCUUAAUCUUUCUUAAUUCCGUCAUGUUGUUAAAUUUGGUAUCAGAGCAAUUAAUCCAUCAUCAUGUUAUUUUAAAUUUGGUAUAAGAGCUAAGUAACGUUCUUACUAUUAUUUUGAAUAUUAAAUCUUUCAUUCAUAUGAAUAUAUGUUCAUCAUGCAUCAUCAUAUAUAUUCUUAUAAAUAUUCAUCGUUACAGACAUUCAUCGUUAUAAGUUAUAAACUCAUUAUUAAAAUCAAAUAUUAUUAUCCACCUACAAUUUAAACAUAUGUCGGUAGAAGUUUUUUUACAAUUAUGACUAUGUACCAAGAAGUUAGAAACACAUUUCAUAUGUCAAAAAAGUUUUUAAUUCUCUGACUGCAUCAUAAAUAUAAUAGUAUUAAAAAACCCCACCAUCAACAUCUUAUUAGAAUUUAUAAAUCGUAACUUUGAAAAAAAAAUAUAAUAAAUAAAUAAAUUAUCAUUUUGUUUCUAAAAAUUAUAAUCAUAAGUUUUUCAAGUUUAAAUAUUAACAAAUAAAAAAUCUUGAAGCUGUUGAUGAAGAUGGCUUAGGGCCAUACAUAAAGUUAAAAUACUAUAGGAGUAUUUUAGAACGCUAAAAGAUUCACACUAAUCCCAGAAUCAUAAUCAGAAGAUAAGAAUCAAACAAGAAUUAAAAUACCAUACGGGUAUUUUAGGACACAUAAACAACCUUGCGUGAAUAACUAAAAAGAUCCUUAUUGAUAUACCUACAACUACAGAGGGUAUACUCCCAAGGUUAUAUAUAAUAAGGAUCCCAUAGGCUAAGAAUGUGUGGUUUCGCCCUAUUUCCUUUUCCUCGUUAGGAUGUGGAUCUAGAGUAGUAUCACAUAUUCGAAGGCCUAUCGGAUCUAAGCUAUAUAUGAUUUGUAUACCCUGUGUAAUCGUAGCAGGACUCGAUAUGGAUCAUACAGUAAAAUGUUAAUAAUCUCUUAGGAUUAUUUAGACAUUUCCAUUCUCGCGCGAACCCUGUAGAAAAACCCACUUCAGUGCUUGACAGAAGAGUUGAUUCCGACCCCGAGGAGGUUCAUCGAGAAGAUUUCCUGUUCGGAAAUAAAUGAACUGGGUCGAGACUAUUGAAUGCACCAAGUGCCCGUAUUCUUUUAGGGACAUUGGUGAGAAAUUUGCCUAAACUUCCGAGAUUCCAGUCAUCCAUCAUGAAGCGGUGACACCCAGAGUCGGAAUCAGAAGGAAGGCGGAGUAGAAAUUCAAUAUGUCCAUACGAGAAGAGAACCCUAGGAAACUACCCGAAGGAAACCAACGUCGGUUCCAGUCAAAGAUACGGGGAAGACCGAGGGAGCCAGUAUAUGGAACCCGGGAAUUGUCUUUUCCUCGUAUUCGUCACGAUAAUUCACCCUUAAAAUGAUACAAUUUAGUGAGUUAGUGGUUACACUACUCACGCUAUGUGUUAGGUAAAUCGUCGUUUCCCGUUGCCAGAUACACGAUUAGGGCGGAUCCCCGCAUCUCUAUUGAGAGAAUUUUAGCCAUCUGCCCUUGUGAGCCUCUCUUUCCGCAGUUUCGUUCCGAACCGUUCUCAAAUCUCUCCAGGCCGGAGAGUGAAACCUUUUCCAGUAUAAAGGUAACUUAGUAGGAACGACUCGCAUCUUAUGGCCUUUUUCCGAUACUCAUACACCCACUUCGAUUACCAGGACUACAUCAUAGGGAUGUAGGUCGACACUCAGACGAUCAGUACCCAAGGCACGGGAAAAGUUUAUGCCUACUACGUUCAGGACAGAAAUGUCCAGGGUUAACCAUCGUCUCUCAUUAUCUUCUAUUCCUUUCCGUGUAGGAAAACCAUGCCACCGAAGAAGCGUAACCAAUCCACAAGCAAGAAACCUGCUCUCUUAUUCGAUGAAGCUACGUUCCAAGCUGCAGUCUCAGCAGUCGUAGCAGCUGUCAUGGCUCACCUGAAUGCUAACACCGCCAAUGUUAGCAAGGGCCCUGUCGGGAUUUCCAAUCCUGGCAAUGGACAGCAGCAACCAACACUUUCAUACCCAGUCACCCAAGAACCUUCACCGAACCCACUAAAGAGAAAACUCAAGAUUGAGGAGGGAAGUACCUCGGCUCAAGGACCUUCCGAAGGGCAACGAGCUGAGGCAGUCUAUACCCCUGUCAAUCCUUCCCUCCCGACCUCAAGAAGACCAUACCUAGGAGACCUUCCCCACUGCAGCAAGUGCAGCUACCAUCAUCAUGGUGCCUGUCGGGAACUCUAUUGUGCUAGGUGCAACAUGAAGGGACAUACUGCUCGCGUAUGCAGAACUCCGGUGGAGCGUAUUACAUCAACCACCAAUGUGGCGACACGUGCAGUUUGCCACCUAUACGGUGAAGUGGGACACUUCAAGAAGGACUGCCCAACCGGAGGGAAAGACAAAGACACAGAAGGAGCCUGACACUACUGCUUAGGGAGAAGCGGCAAGGAACUCAUUAGAUUUUGGUACGUCUCUCGAUCUCGAAUAACAAAUCUAAGAACAAUAAAAGACUAAUUCAAAUGUAAAUUCUUCCUAGUAAGGCAAAAGUCGCAGCACUGCUAUAAAAUUUAAAAUUCAUUAGGUAAAACUAUAAUGGCUAAACAUAUACGUUACGACCAUGUAUAUUUAAGAUGGACAGACCUAGAGUGAGCGAAUGCCGCCUCAUUUCCUGUUUCUCGUUUGGUUGUGGAUUUAGGGCGGGGUCGCUCAGUCAACAGUCCUCCCCACCUUAAAUAUACAUGACUAGUAUAUGUGAGGCGAUUAUAGAAAUGCCUCGUGAGAAUCCGUUCAUGAAAAGAUACUCUAUUCGGAAACACUUAGGACUCUCUGUAGUUCUGCGUCGACUCUAUCGGUCCAAGUAUCCGCGGUAGUGAUACAUAGGACGAAACCCGAGACGCCUAGAACUUGUGUGCCUGUUCGGCACAUGACUCUAUCGAUCUUCACUUUACAUCAUGUCGGAGUGUGCCAACUUCGACGACUCUAUUGAUCAUGGUUUGACUUCGUGCAACCAUGUGUACAUUCUUAGUGUUGUGUAAAAGAACUUUCUCCAUAGCCAUGUCGGCAAAUAAAGGUUCUUCCGAACCUAAACCUAACUCAAAUAAUCAAACAUAAUGCGAUCCGUCAAUCGUUCCCCUUAUCUCAAACCUUCCGAAGUACCCAAGGGAGGGUACCGUACACUGUGACCGACCCCUCGUAGUCAGAUAAACACCGAAGCGAAAGGCACUGCAGAUACUCUAAGAAGACGACCACCAUCCGAAGCAUACUCCGUAGAAUCCCCCGAGAGACCCUUCGCACCUCGCACAUCAGGUUCGUGAACCCAGAGAAUAGAACUCAUAAGGCUGACCACUAUAACCAGGUAUACUGUUGGCAUACAUCAAGUAUUGGCGGUUAAGCCAAGCAUGAGCUCUACCACGGACCUCUUCGCAAAACACUCUCACCCUAUUCCAUAACAUAGGAGUCGGAGUCAAGAGAAUCACUGCGAGUUGAGCCAGUAAAUUUCCGAGUGAUGAAGACUCUAUACCCACUAGCUUUGACCUAGACCGAGAAAACUCAGAACCUUCGGAAGAGUAGUUGCAGUAGAUGCUCGCACUACUCAUGCACCUCGUCCACCCAGUUAUAGACAAGUGGUGCUUAUCAUCCUCCACCCUCUCGCAAGGAGGAAAUCGUCGUCGCCCUGUUGACGAUGAAUUACACUUUCCGAAUUGAACACUAGGAUACCGAGAACCACAGGAUAACCUUCGCAGCCAAGAAUACUUGGCCAUGUACGAAAGUAGUUACGUUAAGCCUCUUGACCCAUAUCCCAAAGAGAUCAUAGGCUUGACACCAGCCCUGGUGUUAGUCGAAGGGUUAUGCUGGAACAUGCACUUUCCACGCUAGAAUAAACCACAGUCUUAGAGAUUCCUUGAACUAUUAGGUGUUCCAUGAAUACUAUCUCACGCUGAGAUAGAAGAACCACCUCCCAAGAUAGUCCAACACUCGUCUAGUGAAACCCUAUCUCCACGACCCUCAGGGUUUUCGUAUCUCAAGCAUCGUUAGUGCAGGUCCAUUUUGCACGAGUUUGGGAUAGACCCUCUAUAGCAAAUCGAUAACCAUAGUCACGCAACCCACUCGACGAUCUAGAAAGUCUCUAUCAGCCAGUUGACAGGAAACGCGAAACCAAAGAGCACUUGAGAUUUCUAAGAACCAACCUGAAGGACUACACACACAGUACGAGUGAGAACGUUAGGAACUUCGGAAUGGCGAUCACACCAGUGAUGAUCUUGCCAUAGAAGUACACUAUGUACUUAGUACUGAAAAGCUCUACCCAUUCUGAGAGCUUAGGACCAUAUGAGAAUCCUUAUGGAGAUUUGGUCCAACCCUUUUCAGGCCGCUACUACCUUCGGAUACCCCGCAAGCUUCACACCUGAUCGAUCCACUCCUUAGACUUGAUACGUGAUUUCCCGACAACACUCUUCAUGCCUCACUCAUCUUGAUAUAAUCCAUUGAGAACCCUAACCUUGUAGAUACACCAGUUGGAACCCACUAGCUACACUAGACGGAAUCCGCAUCCCGUACGUGAAGGUCUGUCGGAAUGACAAACACAGACUGGAGUUCACUUGGGAAUGCGAGGACAACCGUAUAGGAAGUACUAUCUUACCUCUACUUGGCCAUUCAUACCUACUUCCUUGCUUAGACUUGAAUUUCGGGACGAAAUUCCCUCUAACGGGGGGAUGAUGUGACAACCCAAGUUGUCCCGUUACAUUUCCCCGUUACCGUUAACGGAAUAUUCCACUGUAUAAAAGUUCCGUUAAUUAGAGGGCGUCAAUUUAGUAAACAUUCCAUUUGUUUACAUUUAACAUGCCGUUAAGUCGUGAUAAAAGAAAAUAAAAACUCGUAUUACACAUUUCCAUUUAGUUGGAAAAGUUAGUUUUUAUUAUUACGACCACUAAAUCGGGUGCGACCAAAAGCCCCGUUUAACGGCAGUAUUGGGUAGAAUUCCACUGAGCCCCGACCCGGAACCCUAUAUAAGGGUGAGUGGAGUCCAUUUGGAGACUUUUUACCCUCUCUCUCUAUACUCUCUCUCUAGACUCGUUUUCGCCUCGAAUCCGCAACCAAACGCUUCCAAAUUGUAAGUCCGCUUACCCUAGCCUAUUCUAAACAUAUUGAUUCAUGUUUAUAGCUUAGAAAUCGAACCUAGAAGCUGUUGAAAAGGAGUUUACGACCUAAGCUCCUCCUUAGGCCGUAAACACCUAAAAUGAGGCCAAAAUGACCCCCAAAAGUCCCCAAAAGCUUGGAACUAAAUAUGGGAAUUAGCCUAGGAGUGUUUGCACAUUUAAAACAAUCAUUUUGAGGCCUAAAAGAGAGUUUACGGCCCAGGCAUAUGCCAAGGCCGUAAACACCUCUAAACUAAGUCAAAAUGCCUCCAAAACACUCCUACACCACCCUAGGAUUUAACACAUAAAUUAGGGGCUUAUUCUCUUGGGUUUAGAUCACUUAAACAUUAAGAAUUGGAGGAUUAAUAGGAGUUUACGGCCCAGACAUGUGUCAAGGCCGUAAACUCCCCAAACCAAGCCAAAAUGUUGGUUUUUGUCCCCCAAAUGGCCUUAGACAUUGACCAUAAAAUACUAGGAUUGAAUUAAGGGCUUAAACACAAGAAAUGGAGGGAUAAAAAGGAGUUUACGGCCCAAGCAAGUUUCUAGGCCGUAAACUCCCCAAAACACAUCCAAAUGAUGGUUUUAAUCCCCCAAAAUGGCAUCACACUCCAUUAGAAAUUGCUAGAAAGGUAAUAGGGGCUUAAAACUUCACUUAACUCUAAGAUUGAGAGUUUACGGUCGUAAACUCCUAUAAGGUUCCCUUAUAAGCCUUAAAACACUCAUGCCUUUUAUGAAAAGUACUUAGAAAAAUCCCAUGAACAAGCUAGAAGCCUUAAACACACUAGAACCCUUCACCAUGAGUUUACGGCCGUAAACUCAUGGUGAGUAGUCCCUGGGCCGUAAACAUGGUAUUAAGGGUUUACUCUUGGAGAGUAAACUCCAUUCCUAAGCCACACACACCUUUAGACGCUACCCGGGACACCCAAACACUUAUCCAAAGUGUUUUCCGCUCCUUUGAGCGCGUAUAUUUGUUUAAUUAGUAUUAAAUAUACUAAUUGUAUGUGAACAUAUGUUAUCAUAUGUUAAAUAGGUCAUUGUGUGUGUUCGAGUCCUUGCGUGACACCGAACGCCCAAACGGCACCUUCGUCGGACCUACUUACACCAGGUGAGUUCAUACCCCUGAAUGAACCUUUUAAAUGUUUUUACAUGUUUUAUAGGGGGGAAUACAAGUUAAACAUGCCAGUUAUCAUAUCAAUCACAUGUGAUUGAUAACCCGCAUGCACAAGAUUUUACCACACUGUACACUGUUUUACCGAGUAGGACACUAUAAUGGUUUUCAAAAAGGUUUUUCGUUUGUUUCAAGACUCUUAUUUAUACUGCUUUAUUUAAAACUCACUUUAAACUGGUUUAUAAAGGUUUUACAAGAUUUUAAUCAAAGUUCUCUUUCACAACGUAUACUUUUACUUGUUUGUUACUGCUGCUUCGCUUUUACUUAUUUAAAACUCCUACUUGAUAACGCAUUUCCUUCGUGAUACGCUUAUACCGGUUAUUGUCUCUAUAUCGCUUAUACUUGUAGCCACUUAUACUUGAUAGACGCUUUUACUUCACCAGUUGUCGUUUCCACUUCGUGAUACACUUAUACUUGGUACACUUAUACUUCACGAUUCGAUUAUCCCACACUGUACGCUUAUACUUCACGACUCGGAUAUUCCACUGUACGCUUAUACUUCACGACUCGGAUAUUCCACUGUACGCUUAUACUUCACAAGUCGGUUAUUCCACACUGUACACUUAUACUUCACGAUAUGAUUCCACUUGAUACACACUCAAGCGUAGUUAGAUGUAUGUCUGUGCUUGUAUAGAUGCAUAUAAAUAAUGAUUGAAGGACUUAGGAAGGCUUGUCCGCCCUAUUUCCUUUUCUUCGUUGAGAUGUGGUCUGGUGGGAUCGGAUGUCCAUCCGAAGGUCGUUUGAUUCAUUAGUUAUAUAUUAUGUACACAAGCAUAGACAUAUGGGUUUACUUUAGUCAAUUCAGUUAUGAGUCUCUACCUCUAGUUCAGCACUUACAUUAGAAACCCACUAUUUGGAAGUCUCUACCCACUAUUUGGGAUGCAUCUUCAGGACACGGCCUUCUCCGUCGUCUAGUUGGUAACCAGAGUCUCCUGUAGGGAGAGCGGACAUUGUGUGUAUAGAUCUAUACGGGAUUGACACCCCCGCACCCUGACUGCUAGCUACAGUCCACGGCCUACCAAGCCAAGGGGUGACAAAUGUCAUAUUCUCUAGACGCUUGUAGGGCGUCUGGUUCUCUAGUGUCGAUUAGUAUGGUUACGAGUAUCCCAGGUUUCCUUAUAAUUCAUGGUCUUAAGGUAACGGUAUUCACCGACAAUUUACACUGUAUGCUGGUAACUCAUUUUCAGAGUCACACUGUUUUGACCUUGCGAAAUGUAUCCUUCAUUUGAUACUGUCUGCGGUCUGUAUUCUCUGUUUUGACCUUGCAAGAUGUAUCUUUCAUUUGAUACUGUCUGUGGUCUGUAUUCUCCGUUUUGACGUUGCAAGAUGCAUCUAUCGUUUGAUACUGUCUGCGGUCUGUAUUCACUGUUUUAGACCCUUCCAGCUGUACCUUUCAUUUGGUACCUUAUGGGGUCUGUGUGUUCUUUUGUUAGGCUGAACCAGGCGUGUCGUUCGUUCGAUAUUCUCCUGGAGUAUAUGAUUCCUUUGCCUUAGUCAGCAGUCCUCACUGUUCUGGCAUAUGUAUUUUCCCUGACUUCUCUUGCUUUCUUUAAUAAUCAAAUUCUGUAUUUUGAUAAUGAUAGGGAUUAAGGGAAAACUACUUUUUACCACACUAACUCCGUCCAGUCUUGGUAGAAGACUGCUUUAUUUAAAGAAAAUAUAGGAUUUUCUUGAAAGUACUCUAAUACACUGUAAAUUCUUAAACUACCACAUUAUAAAGUUAUUUGGAUAAAAAGUCACUAAAUGCUUACGAACUCACCAGCAUUUGUAAAAAUGCUGAUACUCGCUUUUCAAAUAACUUGUAUUCUCAGGUUAGCAUUAGACAGGUACAUCCCCAGAGUUGUUGAUGAAAAUAGCUUAGUACCAUGUCAUACUUAAUUAUAUUUACUUGUAUUACUUUGAUGUAUUGUAAUGUAACCAUGUAAAAUUAUUACUAUUUAUGCAAUGUUUUGUUGUACUUUGAUUAUUAAAUGCAUGUGUUGUGAUACUUGACAUGACAUCAUCCACCCCAGAACGUUUCCGCCGUUCCGGUUUUGGGGUGUGACAGAUUGGUAUCAGAGCCUUGUUUAUAGUGAGCUAAGUAUAUCAAUUCAUAAAAGAUAUACAGCCUAUAAAUACAAAGGGAUAAAACACUCUGACCAAGAAUUAUACUUUAAAAUAUAACCAUAUUUUACCAAAGUAUAAUAACAUCCAAAACCUAAACACUCGAACAAAAGUAUCACAAGAAGAACAAUAAUAAGAGUCAUCGGAUGUUGAGCACUACAGUCAAACCUGGGCAGUUAUGUAAUCGUAAGCUGGGAUAAAUGUAACCUAAUCAACUACAUUUAUCCGAGAUGCGAUGAACGUGUGCUCGGGAGUGAUAGUGGUGUACAACAGGUCUGAAACUUACCAACUAGGAUUUGCUAGAGCCAUACAUAAAGUUAAAAUACUAUAGGAGUAUUUUAGAACGCUAAAAGAUUCACACUAAUCCCAGAAUCAUAAUCAGAAGAUAAGAAUCAAACAAGAAUUAAAAUACCAUACGGGUAUUUUAGGACACAUAAACAACCUUGCGUGAAUAACUAAAAAGAUCCUUAUUGAUAUACCUACAACUACAGAGGGUAUACUCCCAAGGUUAUAUAUAAUAAGGAUCCCAUAGGCUAAGAAUGUGUGGUUUCGCCCUAUUUCCUUUUCCUCGUUGGGAUGUGGUUCUAGAGUAGUAUCACAAAUUCGAAGGCCUAUCGGAUCUAAGCUAUAUAUGAUUUGUAUACCCUGUGUAAUCGUAGCAGGACUCGAUAUGGAUCAUACAGUAAAAUGUUAAUAAUCUCUUAGGAUUAUUUAGACAUUUCCAUUCUCGCGCGAACCCUGUAGAAAAACCCACUUCAGUGCUUGACAGAAGAGUUGAUUCCGACCCCGAGGAGGUUCAUCGAGAAGAUUUCCUGUUCGGAAAUAAAUGAACUGGGUCGAGACUAUUGAAUGCACCAAGUGCCCGUAUUCUUUUAGGGACAUUGGUGAGAAAUUUGCCUAAACUUCCGAGAUUCCAGUCAUCCAUCAUGAAGCGGUGACACCCAGAGUCGGAAUCAGAAGGAAGGCGGAGUAGAAAUUCAAUAUGUCCAUACGAGAAGAGAACCCUAGGAAACUACCCGAAGGAAACCAACGUCGAUUCCAGUCAAAGAUACGGGGAAGACCGAGGGAGCCAGUAUAUGGAACCCGGGAAUUGUCUUUUCCUCGUAUUCGUCACGAUAAUUCACCCUUAAAAUGAUACAAUUUAGUGAGUUAGUGGUUACACUACUCACACUAUGUGUUAGGUAAAUCGUUGUUUCCCGUUGCUAGAUACACGAUUAGGUUGGAUCCCCGCAUCUCUAUUGAGAGAAUUUUAGCCAUCUGCCCUUGUGAGCCUCUCUUUCCGCAGUUUCGUUCCGAGCCGUUCUCAAAUCUCUCCAGGCCGGAGAGUGAAACCUCUUCCAGUAUAAAGGUAACUUAGUAGGAACGACUCGUAUCUUAUGGCCUUUUUCCGAUACUCAUACACCCACUUCGAUUACCAGGACUACAUCAUAGGGAUGUAGGUCGACACUCAGACGAUCAGUACCCAAGGCACGGGAAAAGUUUAUGCCUACUACAUUCAGGACAGAAAUGUCCAGGGUUAACCAUCGUCUCUCAUUAUCUUCUAUUCCUUUCCAUGUAGAAAAAAAAGCCAUGCCACUGAAGAAGCGUAACCAAUCCACAAGAAAGAAACCUACACUCUUAUUUGAUGAAGCUACGUUCCAAGCUGCAGUCUCAGCAGCCAUAGCAGCUGUCAUGGCUCACCUGAAUGCUAACACCGCCAAUGUUAGCAAGGGCCCUGUCGGGAUUUCCAAUCCUGGCAACGGACAACAACAAACAACACUUUCAUACCCAUUCAUCCAAGAACCUUCACUGAACCCACUAAAGAGAAAACUCAAGAUUGAGGAGGGAAGUACCUCGGCUCAAGGACCUUCCGAAGGGCAACGAGCUGAGGCAGACCAUACCCCUGUCAAUCCUUCCCUCCCGACCUCAAGAAGACCAUACCUAGGAGACCUUCCCCACUGCAACAAGUGCAGCUACCAUCAUCAUGGUGCCUGUCGGGAACUCUAUUGUGCUAGGUGCAACAUGAAGGGACAUACUGCUCGCGUAUGCAGAACUCCGGUGGAGCGUAUUACAUCAACCACCAAUGUGGCGACACGUGCAGUUUGCCACCAAUGCGGUGAAGUGGGACACUUCAAGAAGGACUGCCCAACCGGAGGGAAAGACAAAGACACAGAAGGAGCAUGACACUACUGCUUAGGGAGAAGCGGCAAGGAACUCAUUAGAUUUUGGUACGUCUCUCGAUCUCGAAUAACAAAUCUAAGAACAAUAAAAGACUAAUUCAAAUGUAAAUUCUUCCUAGUAAGGCAAAAGUCGCAGCACUGCUAUAAAAUUUAAAAUUCAUUAGGUAAAACUAUAAUGGCUAAACAUAUACGUUACGACCAUGUAUAUUUAAGAUGGACAGACCUAGAGUGAGCGAAUGCCGCCUCAUUUCCUGUUUCUCGUUUGGUUGUGGAUUUAGGGCGGGGUCGCUCAGUCAACAGUCCUCCCCACCUUAAAUAUACAUGACUAGUAUAUGUGAGGCGAUUAUAGAAAUGCCUCGUGAGAAUCCGUUCAUGAAAAGAUACUCUAUUCGGAAACACUUAGGACUCUCUGUAGUUCUGCGUCGACUCUAUCGGUCCAAGUAUCCGCGGUAGUGAUACAUAGGACGAAACCCGAGACGCCUAGAACUUGUGUGCCUGUUCGGCACAUGACUCUAUCGAUCUUCACUUUACAUCAUGUCGGAGUGUGCCAACUUCGACGACUCUAUUGAUCAUGGUUUGACUUCGUGCAACCAUGUGUACAUUCUUAGUGUUGUGUAAAAGAACUUUCUCCAUAGCCAUGUCGGCAAAUAAAGGUUCUUCCGAACCUAAACCUAACUCAAAUAAUCAAACAUAAUGCGAUCCGUCAAUCGUUCCCCUUAUCUCAAACCUUCCGAAGUACCCAAGGGAGGGUACCGUACACUGUGACCGACCCCUCGUAGUCAGAUAAACACCGAAGCGAAAGGCACUGCAGAUACUCUAAGAAGACGACCACCAUCCGAAGCAUACUCCGUAGAAUCCCCCGAGAGACCCUUCGCACCUCGCACAUCAGGUUCGUGAACCCAGAGAAUAGAACUCAUAAGGCUGACCACUAUAACCAGGUAUACUGUUGGCAUACAUCAAGUAUUGGCGGUUAAGCCAAGCAUGAGCUCUACCACGGACCUCUUCGCAAAACACUCUCACCCUAUUCCAUAACAUAGGAGUCGGAGUCAAGAGAAUCACUGCGAGUUGAGCCAGUAAAGUUCCGAGUGAUGAAGACUCUAUACCCACGAGCUUUGACCUAGACCGAGAAAACUCAGAACCUUCGGAAGAGUAGUUGCAGUAGAUGCCCGCACUACUCAUGCACCUCGUCCACCCAGUUAUAGACAAGUGGUGCUUAUCAUCCUCCACCCUCUCGCAAGGAGGAAAUCGUCGUCGCCCUGUUGACGAUGAAUUACACUUUCCGAAUUGAACACUAGGAUACCGAGAACCACAGGAUAACCUUCGCAGCCAAGAAUACUUCGCCAAGUACGAAAGUAGUUGCGUUAAGCCUCAUGACCCAUAUCCCGAAGAGAUCAUAGGCUUGACACCAGCCCUGGCGUUAGUCGAAGGGUUAUGCAGGAACAUGCACUUUCCACGCUAGAAUAAACCACAGUCUUAGAGAUUCCUUGAACUAUUAGGUGUUCCACGAAUACUAUCUCACGCAGAGAUAGAAGAACGUUUCCGCCGUUCCGGUUUUGGGGUGUGACAGUUAGAAACGCAUUUCAUAUGUCAAAAAGUUUUUAAUUCUCUGACUGCAUCAUAAAUAUAAUAGUAUUAAAAAACCCCACCAUCAACAUCCUAUUAGAAUUUAUAAAUCAUAACUUUGAAAAAAAAUAUAAUAAAUAAAUAAAUUAUCAUUUUGUUUCUAAAAAUUAUAAUCAUAAGUUUUUCAAGUUUAAAUAUUAACAAAUAAAAAAUCUUGAAAAUAAAAUAACAAGAAUAAAUUAUUAAAUAUGUCUCAAGAAAUAGAAAAUACACCAAUCAUUAUUAAUAACGAAGAAAAUGAAUCGGGAUACACAUUUGAUGCUCUAAUUAUUAAAAAUAAUAUUAAUAAAGAUGCUAUAAGAAAAUCAAAUUUUACACUAUCAGAAAAACAUAAUUUUAGAUAUUACUCAUUAAGAGAAGAUUAUACAUUAAUGAUGCGGUGGAUUAUAUUGAUGAUGGAUUAUGUUGAAUGAUUGGAUGAUUGUGUGGAUAAUUUGGAUAGGGCUCUGCUAUUCAGAAAUAGAACAACUAUUUCAACAGAGAAAACAAUUGAGAUCAACUCAAGUCUUAAACACUCAAACUUAACCUGUUUAUUUCAUAUGGGCAAAGGCCCUAUUCAAAGGAUCAAGAGAGUCGGUUACAAUUAUUGUUGCAAUCGUUUGAUUGCAAUACGACAUACAUAUUUACAUUAUAGCCCCCUAAACUAUUGAGGGUUACACACUUUAUGUUACAUCACAAAUAAUACAACCGACACUUAAUAAUUAUCNAAAAAAAACACCCGACACUUAAUAAUUAUCCUACCGACACUUCUAUUGAAUUACGUAAAAAUAACAAUCCUUUAUUUAAGACACGUGUCCUUUCAACGUGGAAGGGAUUGUUAUUUUUACGUAAUUAAAUAGAAGUGUCGGUAGGAUAAUUAUUAAGUGUCGGUUGUAUUAUUUGUGAUGUAACAUCAAGUGUGUAACCCUCAAUAGUCUAGUGGGCUAUAAUGUAAAUAUGUAUGUCGUAUUGCAAUCAAAUGAUUGCAACAAUAAUUGUAACCGACUCUCUUGAGCAUCAAAAGUGUAUCCCACUUCAUUUUCUUCGUUAUUAAUCAGGAUUUGUGUAUUUUCUUUUUCUUGAGACAUAUUUAAUAAAUUAUUCUUGUUAUUUUAUCUUCAAGAUUUUUUAUUUGUUAAUAUUUAAACAUGAAGAACUCAUGAUUAUAAUUUUUAGAAACAAAAUGAUGAUUUAUUUUUUCUUUAAAAGUUACGAUUUAUAAAUUCUAAUAAGAUGUUGAUGGUGGGGUUUUCUAAUACUAUUAUAUUUAUGAUGCAGUUAGAGAAUUAAAAACCUCUUUGACAAAUCAAAUAUGUUUCUAACUUCUUGGUACAUAGUCAUAAUUAUAAAAAACCUUCUACCGACAUAUGUUUAAAUUGUAGGUGGAUAGUAGUAUUUAAUUUUAAUAAUGAGUUUAUGAUAAUAACUUAUAACGACGAAUGUUUGUAACGAUAAAUAUUUAUAAGAAUAUAUAUGAUGAUGCAUGAUGAACAUAUAUUCAUAUGAACGAAAGACUUAAUAUUCAAAAUAAUAGUAAGAACGUUACUUAGCUGUGAUACCAAAUUUAAAAUAACAUGACGACGGAUUAAUUGCUCUCAUACCAAAUUUAAAGACAUGACGGAAUUAAUAAAGAUUAAGAGAAGAUUAUACAUAAAUGAUGCGCUGGAUUAUAUUGAUGAUGGAUUAUGUUGAAUAAUUAGAUGGUUAUGUGGAUAAUUUGGAUAGAACUCUGCUAUUUAGAAAUAGAACAACUAUUUCAACAGAGAAGACAAUUGAGAUCAACUCAAGUCUUAAACACUCAAACUUAACUUGUUUAUUUCAUUUGGGCAAAGGCCCUAUUUAUAGGCUCAAGAGAGCCGGUUACAAUUAUUGUUGCAAUCGUUUGAUUGCAAUACAACAUACAUAUUUAUAUUAUAGCCCCCUAGACUAUUGAGGGUUACACACUUUAAGUUUGGCAAUUACAAUUACAUCAAUUUCACCCAUACCUCAAGUAUAUCAAAAGUGCCAAAACCCAUAUAGCAGACACACUAACAAGAGAAUGGAAGCCAUCAUAAAGCAACCUAGAUAAGAAGCAACACAAUUCAUUGAAGACUAACCCAUGAAUUAAAAAAUAUCUGCUUUUUCUGAGGCGGGAGGAAUGACGCAAGCAAUGACAUAAAAAGCCAUUAUUGAAGAUUAACGGGAGGAAUACCGUAAGCAAUGACGUAAAAAUCCAUUAUUGAAGACACCUAAUGACGUAAGCAAUGACGUAAAAAGCCAUUAUUGAAGACACCUGUCUUUUCAAUGUGGAAGGGCUUAUUAUAUUUUUAAUUAUGUAAAGUGUUGGUAGAAUUAUUUGUAUUUGUCGGUAGGAUAAUUAUUAAGUAUCGGUUGUAUUAUUUGUAAUGUAACAUAAAGUGUGUAACCCUUAAUAGUCUAGGGGGCUAUAAUGUAAAUAUGUUUGUCGUAUUGCAAUCAAACGAUUGCAACAAUAAUUGUAACCAGCUCUCUUGAGCCUAUAAAUAGGGUCUUUGCCCAUAUGAAAUAAACAAGUUAAAUUUGAGUGUUUAAGACUUGAGUUGAUCUCAAUUUUCUUCUCUGUUGAAAUAGUUGUUCUAUUUCUGAAUAGCAGAGUUCUAUCCAAAUUAUCCACAUAAUCAUCCAAUUAUUCAACAUAAUCCAUCAUCAAUAUAAUCCACCACAUCAUUCAGGUAUAAUCUUAUCUUAAUCUUUCUUAAUUCCGUCAUGUUAUUAAAUUUGGUAUCAGAGCAAUUAAUCCGUCAUCAUGUUAUUUUGAAUUUGGUAUCAGAGCUAAGUAACGUUCUUACUAUUAUUUUGAAUAUUAAAUCUUUCAUUCAUAUGAUAUAUGUUCAUCAUGCAUCAUCAUAUAUAUUCUUAUAAAUAUUCAUCGUUACAAACAUUCAUCGUUAUAAGUUAUAAACUCAUUAUUAAAAUCAAAUAUUAUUAUCCACCUACAAUUUAAACAUAUGUCGGUAGAAGUUUUUUUUACAAUUAUGACUAUGUACCAAGAAGUUAGAAACACAUUUCAUAUGUCAAAAAAGUUUUUAAUUCUCUGACUGCAUCAUAAAUACAAUAGUAUUAAAAAACCCCACCGUCAACAUCUUAUUAGAAUUUAUAAAUCGUAACUUUGAAAAAAAAAAUAUAAUAAAUAAAUAAAUUAUCAUUUUGUUUCUAAAAAUUAUAAUCAUAAGUUUUUCAAGUUUAAAUAUUAACAAAUAAAAAAUCUUGAAAAUAAAAUAACAAGAAUAAUUUAUUAAAUAUGUCUCAAGAAAUAGAAAAUACACCAAUCAUUAUUAAUAACGAAGAAAAUGAAUCGGGAUACACUUUUGAUGCUCUAAUUAAUAAAAAUAAUAUUAAUAAAGAUGCUAUAAGAAAAUUAAAUUUUACACUAUCUGAAAAACAUAAUUUUAGAUAUAAGUCAUUGAGAGAAGAUUAUACAUGAAUGGUGCGUUGGAUUAUAUUGAUGAUGGAUUAUGUUGAAUGAUUGGAUGAUUAUGUGGAUAAUUUGGAUAGGGCUAUGCUAUUCAGAAAUAGAAUAACUAUUUCAACAAAGAAGACAAUUGAGAUCAACUCAAGUCUUAAACACUCAAACUUAACUUGUUUAUUUCAUAUGGGCAAAUGCCCUAUUCAUAGGCUCAAGAGAGUCGGUUACAAUUAUUGUUGCAAUCGUUCGAUUGCAAUACGACAUACAUAUUUACAUUAUAAUUCCCGAGACUAUUGACGGUUACACACUUUAUGUGACAUCUCAAAUAAUACAACCGACACUUAAUAAUUAUCCCACCGACACUUCUAUUUAAUUACGUAAAAAUAACAAACCUUUAUUUAAGAGACGUGUCCUUUCAACGUGGAAGGGAUUGUUAUUUUUACGUAAUUAAAUAGAAGUGUAGGUAGGAUAAUUAUUAAGUGUCGGUUGUAUUAUUUGUGAUGUAACAUAAAGUGUGUAACCCUCAAUAGUCUAGGGGGCUAUAAUGUAAAUAUGUAUGUCGUAUUGCAAUCAAACGAUUGCAACAAUAAUUGUAACCGGC
rnacentral:lncRNA from 1 species